rnacentral:lncRNA from 1 species
GCAGGUAUCCACUCACUAUCCUAGUAAGUAUACCAUAUCCAGUUCUCAUACAUGAUGUACAUGAUAGAACAAAUUCUACUUAUAAAUAUCCUAUGUAUGUUGGACUUGAAAAACCCAAGCAACCUCUUAGAUCUAUCUCUAUAGAUAUCUAAAAUGAAAGAUAUUUUUCUUAAAUCCUUUAUGGAGAACAAUAAUAAUAGCAAAACUUUUAUUCCCUAUAAUGUAAAGAAUGUCAUUUUCGAUUAAGAGAAUUUCAUUCACAUACGGGACAAGAAAUAUGCUUAUAGAACUAUUAAUUCAUUUGUAUUUACAGGAUUCUUCAUUCUCAACAAAGUCAUGCAUUUUGAUCACUUAUCAAAAUGUAUGUUCCAACUCCAAAAUAUUUAGCAUUACCAU